rnacentral:precursor_RNA from 1 species
GCUGACACGCUGUCCUCUGGCGACCUGUCGCUGGAGAGGUUGGGCCUCUGGAUGCGAGCGGGACUCUGGCCUCCCGGUGACCCGGCUAGCCGGCCCUGCUCCCGCUUGAGCCGCCUGCUGGGGCCCGUGAGCCUGCGGCCCUCUCGUGCGUCCGAGCGUCCCGACUCCCCCCGGUGCCGGCCCGGGUCCGGGUCUCUGACCCACCUGGGGGCGGCGGGGAAGGCGGCGAGGGCUACCCUGCCCCCGUGCGCUCUCCGCUGCGGGCACCCGGGGCGGCCGUGACAACCCCCCCCCCACCCCGUUGGCUCCGUGCCGUUGCGUGUCAGGCGUUCUCGUCUCCGCGGGGUUGUCCGCCGCCCCUCCCCCCAGAGCGGGGAACGGCCGGGCUGGUCGGCUCGGCUCGCUGGCUGGCCGGCUGGCCGGCUCCCGCUCCUGGGGGCUCUUCGUGAUCGAUGUGGUGGCGUCAUGCUCUCCCGGGCAGGGUCCGAGCCGCGGCGACGGGCGAGGGGCGGACAUUCGUGGCGAAUGGGACCGUUCUUCUCGCUCCGCCCGCGGGGGCCCCUCGUCUCUCCUCCCCGCCUGCGGGUGGUGCGCUGGGGAAGGCGAGGGGCGCGGAACCCGGCCCGACCUCGCUGUCCCGUCCCUGCCUUCCGCCUCGCGGGGCGGGUCGGCGGGGUCCUCUGACGCGGCGGGCACCCCUCGCUCUCGCCUCCUGUGGUUGUCGACUCGCGGGCGGCCCCCCUCCGCGGCGGUGGGGUGCUGUCCCGCCGGCCCGUCGUGCUGCCCUCUCGGGGUUCGCGCGAGCGUUGGCUCCGCCCGGGCCUUUGCGGUGCUCCUGGAGCGCUCCGGGUUGUCCCUCAGGUGCCCGAGGCCGAGCGGUGGUGUGUCUUUCCCGCCCCCGGCGCCCCCUCUUCCGGUCGCCGCCGCGGUGUCCGCGCGUGGCUCCUUGAGGGAGCUCGUUGGUGUCGGGGGGGUCGAGGCGGUGGAGUGAGACGCGCCCCUCCCACGCGGGGAAGGGCGCCGCGUGGUCCGGCGAGCGCACGUGUCCCGUGCUUCCCCCCCUGGCGGGUGCGCGCGGGGGCCGUGUGAGCGGUCGCGGUGGGCUCUCGGGCCGGUGACGCGUGCGCCGGCCGGCGGGCCGCCGAGGGGCUACCGUCCUGCCUCCGACCGGCCGUGUGUGGGUUGACUUCGGAGGUGCUUUGCCUCGGAAGGAAGGAGGCCGGUGGACGUGGGGGGGCCCCGGGGGGUCGCGCGCAUGCGCGCCGGCCGGGUCCCCCGCCCUGACCGCGAACGCUCGAGGUUGCCGCACGCGGGUGUGUUUCCUCUUACCGCGGGCCCCUCCCUCCCUCGCGUGGUCCCCGGGCGUCCCCGAGCGCCUCUGCGGACCCGACGAGGGGCGACUGGCGGGUGGGGAGAGUGACCCGCCCUCGGUGAGAAAGCCUUCUCUAGCGAUCCGAGAGGUUGUGCCUUGGGGUACCGGAUCCCCCGGCCCGCCGCCUCUCUCUGUGCGUUGAUGGUAGCGCUCGCCGUAGCGACCCGCUUGCGGCGGACCCUCCUCCGCUUCCCCCUCGACGGGGUGAGGGGGGGAGAGCGAGGGUUCCGCCGGCCCCCGACCGCGGUGGUGGGGGGCCGAGCGCGGCUCGUCGCCUACUGUGGCCCGCGCCUCCCCCUUCCGAGUCGGGGGAGGAUCCCGCCGGGCCGGGCCCGGCGUCCUUAGCGGUUCGGAGGCUGUGCCGCGAGCGGCGGGUGUGCGCGGCGUUCCGUCCGGCGCGUGUGACCCCUCUCCGCUGUCGAGCCGGCUGUCCGCCCGCUCCCGUGCCGAGUCGCGACCGGUGCCGGUGACCGCGUCUGCGCGGCAAGGGUUUGGGCCGCCUGGCCCCCGGAAAGCGUCCCACGGUGGGGGCGCGCCGGUCUCCCGGAGCGGGACCGGGUCGGAGGAUGGACGAGAAUCCCGGGCGACGCGGCCCUGGCGUCGGGUGUGUGGCUGUGGUCGCCUCGUGGGGUGGGGUUCCCGGUGGCCGGGGCCCCGGGUCUCGUGAGGAGGCGGGUCUCGGUGGGUGCCGAGGGCCGUCCGGCGUCCCAGGCGGUGCGCCGCGGGAACCGCCCUCGUGUCUGUGGCGGUGGGAUCCCGUGGCCGUGUUUUCCUGGUGGCCCGGCCGUGCCUGAGGUUUCUCCCCCGAGCCGCCCCUCCGCGGGCUCCCGGGGGCCCUCGCCCUCGCGGUCCCUGGCCCCCCUCGCCUCUCCGCGUUGGCGCCCCCUUCCCCGCCCGCCGCCUGCCGAGUCCCCUCUCCCCGAGCGGCUCACCGCCGGCUUUACCGUCGGUGGCGGCCCCGUCCGGGCCCGAACCCGGCACCGCCUCGUGGGGCGCCGCCGCCGGCCACCGGUUGGCCCGGUGUCCGCGUCCCCCGGCGCGUGCGCGCUUUCGGGGCCGGGUCGGUGGCGCGCCCCGGCUUGGGCCCGGUGGGCGCCCGGAGGGUUUUGGGGGUCGGCCCGCGGUGCG